UGGGCCAAAGUUUGGGGAUAUAUGUGACAUCUUUGCCCUCUUUUUGCAAUAUUUUAUACAUGCAGGUUGUUGCCAUACACCAAAAGGAAUUAUCUUUCGCCAUUAACCUACUGGAUAUUUAGUCUAUGAAAAAUACUGAUUACGUACUUAUGCACAUAUGUGACACAAACAGUACGCUUUAUAUGCAAGUAAGCAGGGAAAAGGAGAAGGUAUAUUUCUAUCUAACACAAGUACCAAUCUAGUGAAACAUUUCAUUUUGUGGUGUCAUUUUCAAAAAAGGAGUAAUAAAACUCCCAUUACAUUUCAGCGUCCCCUAUGAGAAAGUUUUUAUAACCAUUGGAUUCCUCUUUGUAGCGUGAGCGCAAGUCUUUCAUAAUGCCAACACAGUGGUCGUCGUGUCAGCCACUAUUUCACCUACAUUUCUUGGCGCCCGUUGCUGU
rnacentral:lncRNA from 1 species